GACGAACGCUGGCGGCGUGCCUAAUACAUGCAAGUAGAACGCUGAAGAGAGGAGCUUGCUCUUCUUGGAUGAGUUGCGAACGGGUGAGUGACGCGUAGGUAACCUGCCUUGUAGCGGGGGAUAACUAUUGGAAACGAUAGCUAAUACCGCAUAACAAUAGGUGACACAUGUCAUUUAUUUGAAAGGGGCAAUUGCUCCACUACAAGAUGGACCUGCGUUGUAUUAGCUAGUAGGUGAGGUAACGGCUCACCUAGGCGACGAUACAUAGCCGACCUGAGAGGGUGAUCGGCCACACUGGGACUGAGACACGGCCCAGACUCCUACGGGAGGCAGCAGGAGGGAAUCUUCGGCAAUGGGGGCAACCCUGACCGAGCAACGCCGCGUGAGUGAAGAAGGGUUUCGGAUCGUAAAGCUCUGUUGUAAGUCAAGAACGAGUGUGAGAGUGGAAAGUUCACACUGUGACGGUAGCUUACCAGAAAGGGACGGCUAACUACGUG
rnacentral:rRNA from 1 species